rnacentral:rRNA from 3 species
AUAGGGGAGCCGGAGGGAAACCGAGUCUUAAUUGGGCGUUAAGUUGCAGGGUAUAGACCCGAAACCCGGUGAUCUAGCCAUGGGCAGGUUGAAGGUUGGGUAACACUAACUGGAGGACCGAACCGACUAAUGUUGAAAAAUUAGCGGAUGACCUGUGGCUGGGGGUGAAAGGCCAAUCAAACCGGGAGAUAGCUGGUUCUCCCCGAAAGCUAUUUAGGUAGCGCCUCGUGAAUUCAUCUCCGGGGGUAGAGCACUGUUUCGGCUAGGGGGCCAUCCCGGCUUACCAACCCGAUGCAAACUGCGAAUACCGGAGAAUGUUAUCACGGGAGACACACGGCGGGUGCUAACGUCCGUCGUGAAGAGGGAAACAACCCAGACCGCCAGCUAAGGUCCCAAAGUCAUGGUUAAGUGGGAAACGAUGUGGGAAGGCCCAGACAGCCAGGAUGUUGGCUUAGAAGCAGCCAUCAUUUAAAGAAAGCGUAAUAGCUCACUGGUCGAGUCGGCCUGCGCGGAAGAUGUAACGGGGCUAAACCAUGCACCGAAGCUGCGGCAGCGAACGUAUCACCCAAGACAACUUUACGGAGUUGACGAUUGACGGAGCGAAGCGACGUCAAAGCGUUCAUUAAAGUCGAGUUGGCUUAGGGAUACGUUCGUUGGGUAGGGGAGCGUUCUGUAAGCCUGUGAAGGUGUGUCGUGAGGCAUGCUGGAGGUAUCAGAAGUGCGAAUGCUGACAUAAGUAACGAUAAAGCGGGUGAAAAGCCCGCUCGCCGGAAGACCAAGGGUUCCUGUCCAACGUUAAUCGGGGCAGGGUGAGUCGACCCCUAAGGCGAGGCCGAAAGGCGUAGUCGAUGGGAAACGGGUUAAUAUUCCCGUACUUGGUGUUACUGCGAAGGGGGGACGGAGAAGGCUAUGUUGGCCGGGCGACGGUUGUCCCGGUUUAAGCGUGUAGGUGUGUGUUCCAGGUAAAUCCGGUUCACUUUAACACUGAGGCGUGACGACGAGGCACUACGGUGCUGAAGCAACAAAUGCCCUGCUUCCAGGAAAAGCCUCUAAGCAUCAGGUAACAUCAAAUCGUACCCCAAACCGACACAGGUGGUCAGGUAGAGAAUACCAAGGCGCUUGAGAGAACUCGGGUGAAGGAACUAGGCAAAAUGGUGCCGUAACUUCGGGAGAAGGCACGCUGACACGUAGGUGAAGUGAUUUACUCAUGGAGCUGAAGUCAGUCGAAGAUACCAGCUGGCUGCAACUGUUUAUUAAAAACACAGCACUGUGCAAACACGAAAGUGGACGUAUACGGUGUGACGCCUGCCCGGUGCCGGAAGGUUAAUUGAUGGGGUCAGCGCAAGCGAAGCUCCUGAUCGAAGCCCCGGUAAACGGCGGCCGUAACUAUAACGGUCCUAAGGUAGCGAAAUUCCUUGUCGGGUAAGUUCCGACCUGCACGAAUGGCGUAAUGAUGGCCAGGCUGUCUCCACCCGAGACUCAGUGAAAUUGAACUCGCUGUGAAGAUGCAGUGUACCCGCGGCAAGACGGAAAGACCCCGUGAACCUUUACUAUAGCUUGACACUGAACAUUGAGCCUUGAUGUGUAGGAUAGGUGGGAGGCUUUGAAGUGUGGACGCCAGUCUGCAUGGAGCCGACCUUGAAAUACCACCCUUUAAUGUUUGAUGUUCUAACGUGGACCCGUAAUCCGGGUUGCGGACAGUGUCUGGUGGGUAGUUUGACUGGGGCGGUCUCCUCCUAAAGAGUAACGGAGGAGCACGAAGGUUGGCUAAUCCUGGUCGGACAUCAGGAGGUUAGUGCAAUGGCAUAAGCCAGCUUGACUGCGAGCGUGACGGCGCGAGCAGGUGCGAAAGCAGGUCAUAGUGAUCCGGUGGUUCUGAAUGGAAGGGCCAUCGCUCAACGGAUAAAAGGUACUCCGGGGAUAACAGGCUGAUACCGCCCAAGAGUUCAUAUCGACGGCGGUGUUUGGCACCUCGAUGUCGGCUCAUCACAUCCUGGGGCUGAAGUAGGUCCCAAGGGUAUGGCUGUUCGCCAUUUAAAGUGGUACGCGAGCUGGGUUUAGAACGUCGUGAGACAGUUCGGUCCCUAUCUGCCGUGGGCGCUGGAGAACUGAGGGGGGCUGCUCCUAGUACGAGAGGACCGGAGUGGACGCAUCACUGGUGUUCGGGUUGUCAUGCCAAUGGCACUGCCCGGUAGCUAAAUGCGGAAGAGAUAAGUGCUGAAAGCAUCUAAGCACGAAACUUGCCCCGAGAUGAGUUCU